rnacentral:tRNA from 1 species
UAAGCCUUAAGUUAUAUAAACUAAGAGCCUUCCAAGCUCCCCAAAAGAAAUUCUUAGGCUUAA